AAUAGGACUCCUUCUUCAGCUUGACGGCAUCCCUUACUUCUGGUGUCCACCACCGGGUUUGGGUGCUGCCACUGCAACACGCACCAGAAACCUUACGACCACAGCUCCAAACAGCAGCUUCCACAAUGGAUUUGGAGAACAUGGUCCACUCAGACUCAAUGUCCCCAGCCUCCUUCGGGAUCUGAUCAAAGUUCUCUUGGAGAGAAGCUCAUUAACACGACUGUCAUCAUCCUGGUUGUUGUGGUGGUUCUCGCUCUCGUCCUCAUCGCUGCUGUUGUAUUCAUGGUUCACAAAAAGAAGAACGCACAUGGAGAUGAGUUUGAAACAGCAGUAAACUCUGUGAGGCUCAGGGGGAGUGGUCAGAAGAACUGUACCGACAACAGUACUUCCAGGUUAUGGACACAGCAUCAGCAUCCCUGGAUUGGUCCUUCGGCAUUCAAACACAUGUAAGACAUUGAGGAUUUGUCAUUGGAAAAUGCGACUGCAAGAACAUCAUACAGUUUCACCGGGAUUAUUUGGAUGAAACCAGACUCACACUGCAUUGUGAUAUGUGCAUGGACAUAGCAAAGCAGAAAGGAGUAAAACUCACACCGGUAAGUGACGACGUUGGAUGAACUCAUGAGCUGAAAAACAAGGUGUGUAAAUGAGUUCAAGAUUAGAUGGCUGAUAGUAUUCCAGCGCUGUGCCGGAUCUCCGGGGUAUCGGCAUGACUGAGUGUCUGUUGUGACACUGUAAACACACACUGACCUCCUCGAGCUUUUUUUUUUUUUUGAUACUUCCGCUCAUAUUUAGUUUCGCUCAAAACAUUUAGAUUGAACAUUUAGA